rnacentral:misc_RNA from 1 species
ACUUUGCCUCUAACAACAACAACAACAAGAAUCGAAAAUUCCAAGAUGAAACAGCGCCAACGACUGCAUUAUCGACAGAAGGCGCGGCAAGCUGAUGAAGCUCGUCAAAUCCAUGAUCAGCAUCAACAAGAAGUGCAGAUUCCGUGCUGUCAACAGAUGCCAGAGCAAAGUGCAAGUGAUACUACUGAUCAUGCCCAAGAAUGGAUCAAUAUGGACUAUUCACUUCUCACGUCUUUCUUGGAAUUUGAUAACUCUUUCUUGUCAUCCUGGAAUUGGAAUUCUGCUUUUCUUUCUGUGGAAAAUGGAAGGAAACUACGUAUGAUCUUACAACCGGGUUCUUUCUUCAGCCAUGAUACGACCUCUCCUCCUCAUUAAUUUAGUGCCCGGCUUGCUUGCUUAGAUAAACUUGUUGCAGCUGUUCUUGAUUUUUUUU